UCUUUCUCCGUUGUUUCGGCUAUUAUAAAGCCAAAUCAAAUCUGUAAAAGGGUUACACAGACAUAUAUUGAAAAAUACUGAAAUACGAAAGAAAAGAAUCAGGAAAAAAACAAAUUUUUGAAGGUGAUUUGUUCUUUCCAAGUUUUUUUUACUGUUUCUUUUUUUUGUCUCAUCUUUUUCUUUUGUAUUUUACUUCGUUUUUUUGAGAAAGAAAACGAAAAGUAAAAGAAAGGGAGGAGAUUCUUACCAGCAGAGGCGCGCCAUCGGUAUCGUUUGCUUCAUUUGUCCAAAUCAAAGUUAAAAGGGAGGGGGUUUUGGCGUGAGGAGUUGGGAAGAAGAUGAAACAAUUUUUGAAGCUGCUGCAGAAUAGCUUUAAAUUUGAGAUUGAAAUGGGUUUUAAGCACUUAUGGGUUAUUUAUGCUUUUAAUCCUCUCAUGUUUUCAUUAUUUC
rnacentral:lncRNA from 1 species